AAAGCCCAGCAAUGGGUGAGUAAAGUGGCGUACGGGUGAGUAACACGUGGGUAAUCUGCUCUUUGGUGGGGAAUAACCCUGGGAAACCGGGGCUAAUACCGCAUAAGCUCGAAAGAGGAAAGGUGAAAAUCGCCGAAGAAGGAGCCCGCGGCUGAUUAGCUAGUUGGUGAGGUAAAGGCUCACCAAGGCGAAGAUCGGUAGCCGGCCUGAGAGGGCACACGGCCACACUGGCACUGAAACACGGGCCAGACUCCUACGGGAGGCAGCAGUGGGGAAUCUUGCACAAUGGGGGCAACCCUGAUGCAGCGACGCCGCGUGAGCGAUGAAGCCCUUCGGGGUGUAAAGCUCUUUCGGCAGGAACGAUAAUGACGGUACCUGAAGAAGAAGCUGCGGCUAACUACGUGCCAGCAGCCGCGGUAAUACGUAGGCAGCGAGCGUUGUUCGGAGUUACUGGGCGUAAAGCGUGCGUAGGCGGUCUUGUAAGUCUGGUGUGAAAUCUCCCGGCUCAACUGGGAGGGUGCGCCGGAAACUGCAAGGCUGGAGUAUGGGAGAGGUAGGCGGAAUUCCUGGUGUAGCGGUGAAAUGCGUAGAUAUCAGGAGGAACACCUGUGGUGUAGACGGCUUACCGGACCAUGACUGACGCUGAGGCACGAAAGCGUGGGGAGCAAACAGGAUUAGAUACCCUGGUAGUCCACGCCCUAAACGAUGCAUACUUGGUGUGGGUAAUUCAUUUUAUCCGUGCCGGAGCUAACGCGUUAAGUAUGCCGCCUGGGGAGUACGGUCGC
rnacentral:rRNA from 1 species